rnacentral:rRNA from 1 species
CGCUGGCGGCGUGCCUAACACAUGCAAGUCGAGCGAGGAGAUCCUCGGGAUGAUCCUAGCGGCGGACGGGUGAGUAACACGUGGGCAACCUGCCUCAUAGAGAGGAAUAGCCUUCCGAAAGGGAGAUUAAUACCUCAUAACAUUGCAGUUUCGCAUGGAACAGCAAUUAAAGGAGCAAUCCGCUAUGAGAUGGGGCCCGCGGCGCAUUAGCUAGUUGGUGAGGUAACGGCUCACCAAGGCGACGAUGCGUAGCCGACCUGAGAGGGUGAUCGGCCACAUUGGGACUGAGACACGGCCCAGACUCCUACGGGAGGCAGCAGUGGGGAAUAUUGCACAAUGGGGGAAACCCUGAUGCAAGCAACGCCGCGUGAGUGAUGACGGCCUUCGGGUUGUAAAGCUCUGUCUUCAGGGACGAUAAUGACGGUACCUGAGGAGGAAGCCACGGCUAACUACGUGCCAGCAGCCGC